CGUAGACCACAAGCGUUAUCCGGAUUUAUUGGGCGUAAAGCGCGUGUAGGAGGUCUUGUGCGUUUCCGGUUAAAGCCCACUGCCUAACGGUGGAACUGCCGGGAAUACGACAGGACUGGAGGAGGUGAGAGGUGCAUGGAACUCACGGUGUAGGGGUGAAAUCCGUUGAUAUCGUGGGGAACACCAAAGGCGAAGGCAGUGCACUGGUACCUUCCUGACUCUGAGACGCGAAAGCGUGGGGAGCAAAAAGGAUUAGAUACCCUUGUAGUCCACGCCCUAAACGAUGCAGGCUUGGUGUUUCGAGUAUCGACCCUCGGAGUGCCGGAGCUAACGCGUUAAGCCUGCCGCCUGGGAAGUACGAUCGCAAGAUUA
rnacentral:rRNA from 1 species